rnacentral:rRNA from 1 species
CACUUGAAAGAUUUAACAUUGAGACGAGUGCGAACUGGUGAGUAACACGUGGGUAACCUGCCCUUGAAGUAGGGGAUAACACUUGGAAACAGGUGCUAAUACCGUAUAACAACCGAAACCCACCUGGUUUUGUUUAAAAGACGGCUUCGGCUGUCACUUUAGGAUGGACCCGCGGCGUAUUAGCUUGUUGGUAAGGUAACGGCUUACCAAGGCGAUGAUACGUAGCCGACCUGAGAGGGUAAUCGGCCACAUUGGGACUGAGACACGGCCCAAACUCCUUACGGGAGGCAGCAGUAGGGAAUCUUCCACCAAUGGACGAAAGUCUGAUGGAGCAACGCCACGUGAGUGAUGAAGGGUUUCGGCUCGUAAAACUCUGUUGUUGGAGAAGAACAGGUGUCAGAGUAACUGUUGACAUCUUGACGGUAUCCAACCAGAAAGCCACGGCUAACUACGUGCCAGCAGCCGCGGUAAUACGUAGGUGGCAAGCGUUGUCCGGAUUUAUUGGGCGUAAAGCGAGCGCAGGCGGUUUUUUAGGUCUGAUGUGAAAGCCUUCGGCUUAACCGGAGAAGUGCAUCGGAAACCGGGAGACUUGAGUGCAGAAGAGGACAGUGGAACUCCAUGUGUAGCGGUGAAAUGCGUAGAUAUAUGGAAGAACACCAGUGGCGAAGGCGGCUGUCUGGUCUGUAACUGACGCUGAGGCUCGAAAGCAUGGGUAGCGAACAGGAUUAGAUACCCUGGUAGUCCAUGCCGUAAACGAUGAGUGCUAAGUGUUGGAGGGUUUCCGCCCUUCAGUGCUGCAGCUAACGCAUUAAGCACUCCGCCUGGGGAGUACGACCGCAAGGUUGAAACUCAAAGGAAUUGACGGGGGCCCGCACAAGCGGUGGAGCAUGUGGUUUAAUUCGAUGCUACGCGAAGAACCUUACCAGGUCUUGACAUCUUCUGCCAACCUAAGAGAUUAGGCGUUCCCUUCGGGGACAGAAUGACAGGUGGUGCAUGGUUGUCGUCAGCUCGUGUCGUGAGAUGUUGGGUUAAGUCCCGCAACGAGCGCAACCCUUAUGAA